UACGAAGGGUGCGAGCGUUGUUCGGAUUUACUGGGCGUAAAGGGCGCGCAGGCGGCGCAUUUUGUCAGGCGUGAAAGCCCCGGGCUUAACCUGGGAACUGCGUUUGAUACGGAUGGGCUAGAGUUCGGGAGAGGGAAGCGGAAUUCCGGGUGUAGCGGUGAAAUGCGUAGAUAUCCGGAGGAACACCGGUGGCGAAGGCGGCUUCCUGGACCGACACUGACGCUGAGGCGCGAAAGCGUGGGGAGCAAACAGG
rnacentral:rRNA from 1 species